GCCUGGCUGGCUCAGUCGGUAGAGCAUGUGACUCUUCAUCUUAGGGUCGUGAGUUUGAGCCCCAUGUUGGGUG
rnacentral:tRNA from 1 species